rnacentral:lncRNA from 1 species
GGGAGGUCGCAACCUGUGGUCAACGGUGCCUGAGUGGAAUGUCAGUGCACAGAUAGCAUAGCAGCGGCGAUUCUGUACACGGCAUUGGCGCUACACAAAGGCGGUGACUUUGCUAGUGGUUGUGCACCGUCCUGGCGCUGCUUCACACCAAAGUAACAUAGCGGCGCCAAGAAUAAUACCUGCAGCAAUGAAAAUACUACUAGCAAUAGUGGGGAAAGUACUAGUAGAGAGAUUGGAGAUUCGUUAAAGAGGAAACUAGGGGCUUUGGUUGAGAUGUAGAACAAAGAACAAAGAUCGAAAAUUCCUCAGAGGAGAAAGCUGGGACAGAAAGAAAAAAAGGUAUUUCUUUUAAUGGCUUUAUCACGUGGCUUUGAUUAUGCCUGAGUUGUAUUAGCACCUUUAUAAUAAAUAAUAAAAAACAAAAUUGUAGCAUUACUUUGUCCGAAUUUAACAAUGUAAUGAUCAAAGUCAAUAUUGAGCCCCAUAGCCUGUCAAAAUUAUCAUUAAACCUUCUUUGGUCUUAGGAUUAUAAAUUUGUCGUGCACAAUCUUAAUUUACGUCUACCAGACGAAGUAUUAGGUUCAUCCAACGUUAUACUAUAAUUGUUGCAAUAACACGGAAAAAUCUUUAAAAACUGUUGAUUUCACUUUUUAUAGGAUAGAACAGAAAAUACAGUCUGUGUCAAUGUAAAGAUGAGCAACAUAACAGCAGCAAAAAAAGAAACAAACGCCCACGGAGUAUUGAAGUAGUUACGCCUUAAGUUCGCCAUCCAUCUGUUCCGGCGUUGACCACAAUGUCUAUUCACUUUUUCAAAUACUUGUUGGUAGCAGAAAUCAGAAGACGUCGGGAUAUAUCUGCCUAUUCGGUUGAACAUGUGGUAGACCAUUCCAUCAUCACCUAGAAAAUUUGUAAUGAUUC